UACGUAGGGUGCGAGCGUUAAUCGGAAUUACUGGGCGUAAAGCGUGCGUAGACGGUUAUGUAAGUCGGGUGUGAAAGCCCCGGGCUCAACCUGGGAAUUGCAUUCGAGACUGCAUAGCUAGGGUGCGGAAGAGGGAAGCGGAAUUUCCGGUGUAGCGGUGAAAUGCGUAGAUAUCGGAAGGAACACCAGUGGCGAAAGCGGCUUCCUGGUCCAGCACCGACGUUCAGGCACGAAAGCGUGGGGAGCAAACAGG
rnacentral:rRNA from 1 species